rnacentral:rRNA from 2 species
AAGGAAUUCGCGGGGGCCCGCACAAACGGUAGAACAUGGGGUUUAAUUUGAAACCACGCGGAGCACCUUCCCAGGUCUUGACAUCCUUUGACAAUCCUUGAGAUAGGGCUUCUCCUUCGGGACCAGAGUGACAGGUGGUGCAUGGUUGUCGUCAGCUCGUGUCGUGAGAUGUUGGGUUAAGUCCCGCAACGAGCGCAACCCUUGAUUUUAGUUGCCAUCAUUAAGUUGGGCACUCUAAGGUGACUUCCGGGGACAAAUCGGAGGAAGGUGGGGAUGACGUCAAAUCAUCAUGCCCCUUAUGACCUGGGCUACACACGUGCUACAAUGGGCGGUACAAAGAGCUGCCAAACCGCGAGGUGGAGCUAAUCUCAUAAAACCAUUCUCAGUUCGGAUUGUAGGCUGCAACUCGCCUACAUGAAGCUGGAAUCGCUAGUAAUCGCGGAUCAGCAUGCCGCGGUGAAUACGUUCCCGGGCCUUGUACACACCGCCCGUCACGCCACGAGAGUUUGUAACCCCCGAAGUCGGUGGGGUAACCUUUAGGAAUUCACCCGCUCUAUG